rnacentral:rRNA from 1 species
GGGCCCGCACAAGCGGUGGAGCAUGUGGUUUAAUUCGAUGAUACGCGAGGAACCUUACCAGGGCUUAAAUGUAGUGGGACAGGUCUAGAGAUAGACCCUUCUUCGGACUACUUACAAGGUGCUGCAUGGUUGUCGUCAGCUCGUGCCGUGAGGUGUCAGGUUAAGUCCUAUAACGAGCGCAACCCCUAUCGUUAGUUGCCAUCAAGUAAUGUCGGGAACUCUAACGAAACUGCCAGUGCAAACUGUGAGGAAGGUGGGGAUGACGUCAAAUCAUCACGGCCCUUACGUCCUGGCUACACACGUGCUACAAUGGGUAGAACAAUAAGUUGCUAAGUUGCGAAACCAAGCG